UGUGUGCCGGUGCUGGUGGUUCAGCUUCAGAGCCCGGUGGCAAUGGCUUCUCUGAAACGCGAACCUUCCGGAGAAGACGAAUUCGAGCAGAACCUCAAGAGGACGAGACGCGGCGACGCCUCGGAGUCGAAGCCCGACCACCGUGUGGCUCUCAACCCCGCCGAUUGCAACUUAGAUUUUAAUGUGGAAGGCAAUGGGCUUCGAGGA